rnacentral:tRNA from 2 species
CGGGGUGUAGCUCAGGUGGCUAGAGUGCUUGCUUAGGGAGCAAGAGGUCGUGGGUUCGAGUCCCGUCACUCCGACCA